UCAUUAGCUCAGAUGGUGAGAGCCGUUGCCUCAUAAGCAGAAGGUCGUAGGUUCGAGUCCUACAUGAUCC
rnacentral:tRNA from 1 species